rnacentral:lncRNA from 1 species
UGCUGGCAUGAGAGUCUUCUUGAGGAGAGCAUGUUAAAUGCAUCAUAGCUUCUCUGUUCAAUGCAAAUGUGUUGUUGUCUCUGAUCAUUUUUUUUUGUGUGUAUUGUCUCUGAUCAUUUUCUGUUCUCUUUUUUUCAUUUUGUUUCCUUCUGUUGCUUCACCUCUGGUCUAGUUUAGGUGAUGAACCCCAAAUAACAUGAUACAUGACAGGCUUUGUAUCCUCAUAACGUCAAAUAUUUGGGAUGCUUUUUGGUACAUCUAAUGUUGCAUUUCACAUUAUAAACUGUUGAUCAUGUGUACUGUAUUUGCAAUAACUGUAGAACUAGCGUCUUUUUCAUGAGUUUUAUAUGCAUGUUAGUGAGCUCUGCACUGACCAAAGACGUGGUUUUGAUAUUAAUUAUGGUUUAUAACCAAUUGGUCCUUGUAAAGUUCUAUGAUUUCGUCAGACCUCCUUUAACAGGAUUUUACCUCCCAUGGAAGGGAACUUCUUCAGGUCUGAUGCUCAACAAGCGCAUGAGGACGGCUUCUUAGUUAGACAAGAAGACAUCUC